rnacentral:rRNA from 1 species
AUUUUAAAAAACAAGGAAGUAUAAAAUUUUUAUAAAAACCAAUAUAUGAUGGCGGCAUUUAUUUAUUAGAGGAACUUGUUUAAUAAUAGAUAAUCCACUUUAAUUUUUACCUAAUUUUUAAAACUUUCAUACCACCAUCUAAAGAUUUAAUUUAACCAUAUUAUCUAAAUAAAUUUAUAAAAAGUUAGGUAAAGGUGUAAUCCAUAAUUAGGUUAAAAUGUGUUACAUUAAAUAUAAUUUAAGGAUAAUUUAUAAAUUUUAAAUUUAAAAAAGGAUUUAAAAGUA